rnacentral:siRNA from 1 species
AGGAGGUGGAGAUGAUGAUAUU